UCCCAUGGUAGACUAUGUUUAUUUUGGUUCUUAAGCUUAUUUCAAGUUUCAGAUGUUAGCAAACUUCUUCGGUCUCUAAUACUAGGCUAAUUUUGGUGUAUUUUUCAUGUUGCAAUGACAUGGGCCUCACUACCGGAUAACCUUAUAUGCCUACGGCCUUAUCUAUGCCUAUGGCUGCCGUAGGCANNNNNNNNNNNNNNNNNNNNNNNNNNNNNNNNNNNNNNNNNNNNNNNNNNNNNNNNNNNNNNNNNNNNNNNNNNNNNNNNNNNNNNNNNGUAGGCAUAGAUGGAACUAUGCCGACGGCCUAGGGAAAACCGUCGACAUAGAAAAGCCGUCGGCAUAGCUCCAUCUAUGCCUACGGCAGCCGUAGGCAGAGUAAGGUCGUCGACAUACAUCGAUCUAUGCCUACAGCAGCCGUAGGCAUAGUUAGGUCGUCAGCAUAGAGGUGGCUCUGGUGGCCCGGGGACAGACGGCGGGCCGACGCCGUCAAAUCUAUGCUGAUGGCCCUGACGGCGGCCGUCGGCAUAGAUAUCAUCUGUUUUUUUACUAGGAGCUGCCACGUGGUAUAGCUAUGCCGACGGCAAAGCUGUAGGCAUAGUUUUCCAUCUAUGCCUACGGCAAGGCCGUAGGCAUAGCCCUGCCACGUGGCGCCUCCUGGUAGCUCCUGGCCGAGAACUAUGCCUACGGCCGUGCCGUAGGCAUAGAUAUCAUCUGUUUUUUAUUUUAAAUUAUUUUUAUUUUUGAAAGUUAAAAUUUGAUUAAUUUAAAUUUAACUUAUCUAAACUUAAACAUACACAAAUUAUACAUCGAUUUGGGGUAGAAUUUUCCGUAGAUUAUGAAUAUCCAGUUUUGUUUUUGUUUUUGAGUAUGUUAGAAAUGUGACCUCAUGUACUUUUGCAUAUAGGUCCUUAUACUUUGUUAAAAUCAUAAGUAAUUGACACGUCGAUCGAUUUUGACAAAUUUUAUAUGGUUUUUAUCAAAAUCUUGAAAGGAUUAUGUUGCUAUACUAUGUUUCAAAUUUGAACAAACCAAAAUCAUGUUUGCUUCAGAUUUACAGAAAAUACCCUUUUAUUUUGACUUAUUUGUUUAUUUUUCAUUCCUUGGCCAAAGAGACAAAAUUUAUAUCUACAUCCAUCAGAUUCUUUCUACGAUUAUGAUGGAAGGUGUAAACACCGAGCACACGGCUCCAGAGUGUGACCCCCUUCACGGACGGUGCUGCUGCUAGCACUUGGAGGGUGGAAAUGACCAUGUCGAGUCGAACCGGAGGGAAUCUUGUGGUGGGUUGGGCCCAAACCUUGGUCUGAAAUGUUUCUAUGGGCUGGCCUAUCACAACCAGGUGGAAAAGUCCGUCGGGUAAAGGCCGUCCGAUGAAAGUCAAAGGCCUGGAUCUUAGGGUCAACGGGUAAGGGUUAGGCCGGUCGGGGGCCUUCAGGGGUAGUAAUGCCACUAAAAGUUGCAUUGUGUCUUAAUAUAUGUAUACAGUGUGAUGGAGGGUUGAAAUAGCCAACAGAGCAACAUGUAGCACACUUCCUUCACAAAACCGGACAUGUUCUCUCUCGAUAGCUAGAUACUACGUCGGAGAUGUUGCAAUUUACAAGCGGCCUCCGGUCAGGCUCCUACAAAAUUCGCUCAAACUUUUACCACAACCUACAAGGGCCAUAUGACGACACUGUGCCAGGUCCCAAGAAUUUCCGUCAUCGUAUGAUUUUCCGUGGAGUGUAACGGCUAGGUCCGACAUGCCGCUGAGGUAUAUUCGCCCUCCGGUGGUGGGGGAUGCCCCUCCUUUGGUUGCACUAGGCCUACACAUACUGCAAACACAUCAUAUAUGAUUUAAUAAAACACUUCUAGACAUCAUUUCAGGUGAUCACCAUGCAGAUCUGCAACUUGCCGCAUUGAAAUCCUACGGAUGCAAUAAAUGUCUCAAAUAUUACAGGCAACCCAGAAAAAUGUCAUGUCCAGGCACGUGUCAUGCAAUGGCCCCAUUUGAGAGCACACGAAGUUUCGAGGUCAACGGAGCAACGAGCAACACUUCCUUCACAAACUGGAGAAGUUCUCUCUCGAUAGCCGCAUACUACCUCGGAGAUGGUGUAGUUUACAAGCGGCCUUCGGUCAGGCUUCUGCGAAACGAGCUCAAACUUUUACCACACUCUACAAGGGCCAUACGACGACACCGUGCCAGGUCCCGAGGAUUUUCGGCAUCGUAUGAUUUUUUUGUGGAUUUUAAUGGCUAGAUCCAGCAUGCCGUUGAGGUACAUUCACCCUCCGGUGGCGGGGCUUGUCCCUCCUGUGGUUGCACUAGACCUACACAUACCACAAGGACAUCAUAUAUGAUUUGACAAACCACUUCUGGGUAUCAUUUCAGGUGGUAUCCAUGCAGAUCUAUAACUUCCCGCAUUAAAACCCUACAGAUGCAAUAAAUGUCUCAAAUAUUGUAGGGGGCCCAGAAAAAUGCCAUGUUCUGGCACGUGUCAUGCAAUGGUCCCCUUUGAAAGCAUGAGAAGUUUCGAGGUCAACGGAGCAAUGGGCAACACACUUCCUUCACAAACCGGACAAGUUCACUCUCGAUAGCCGCAUACUACCUCGGAGAUGGUGUAGUUUACAAGCGGCCUUCGAUCAGGCUUCUGCGAAAACGAGAUCAAACUUUUACCACACUCUACAAGGGCCAUACGACGACACCGUGCCAGGUCCUGAGGAUUUCCGGCAUCGUAUGAUUUUUCAUGGAUUUUAAUGGCUAGAUCCGGCAUGCCGUUGAGGUACAUUCACCCUCUGGUGGUGAGGCUUGUCCCUCCUGUGGUUGCACUAGACCAACACAUACCGCAAAGACAUCAUAUAUGAUUUGACAAACCACUUCUGGGUAUCGUUUCAGGUGGUCUCCAUGCAGAUCUGUAACUUCCCGCAUUGAAACCCUACAGAUGCAAUAAAUGUCUCAAAUAUUGCAGGCGGCCUAGAAAAAUGCCAUGUUCUGGCACGUGUCAUGCAAUGGUCCCCUUUGAGAGCACGAGAAGUUUUGAGGUCAAUUAAGCAACGAGCAACACACUUCCUUCACAAACCGGACAAUUUCUCUCUCGAUAGCCACAUACUACCUUGGGGAUGGUGUAGUUUACAAGGGGCCUCCGGUCAAGCUUCUGCGAAACGCGCUCGAACUUUUACCACACCCUACAAGGGCCAUAUGACGACACUGCACCAGGUCCCGAGGAUUUCCGGCAUCGUAUGAUUUUCUGUGGAUUUCAAUGGCUAGAUCCAGCAUGCCGCCGAGGUACAUUCGCCCUCCGAUGGUGGGGCAUGUCCCUCCUUUGGUUGCACUACACCUACACAUGCCGUAAAGACAUCAUGUUUGAUUUGACAAACCACUUCUGGACAUCAUUUUAGGUUACAAGCGACCUCCGGUUAGGCUUCUCCGAAACGCGCUGAAACUUUACCACGCCCUACCGUGGUCGGCUCAGCCCGGUCGGAAAGCAUGGGAAGGAGCGAGCCAUUUAGGCCGAUGCCCUUCUCCAAAGUUGUUAAGUGUUUACCCGGAAUAAGAGGAGAAAAUACAAUUGCAAGAGCUUAAUUCUCAUUGGUGGAACCAACUAUGCCAUGGAUUGAUGACAUGGCUCACAUCCAUCCAUCCAUCUCUCCACCCCACAUACAUCCAUCUAAAGAAAAGGAGGAGGAAAAGAAAAAUAAAGACAGAAAUCCACCGCACACCUCUCCCUCUCGCUCGUCUCUCCCUCCCCCNNNNNNNNNNNNNNNNNNNNNNNNNNNNNNNNNNNNNNNNNNNNNNNNNNNNNNNNNNNNNNNNNNNNNNNNNNNNNNNNNNNNNNNNNNNNNNNNNNNNNNNNNNNNNNNNNNNNNNNNNNNNNNNNNNNNNNNNNNNNNNNNNNNNNNNNNNNNNNNNNNNNNNNNNNNNNNNNNNNNNNNNNNNNNNNNNNNCGCCACCUACGCCGCUCGAUUCCGGCUUGUACCGGCGGCCCUCGCCGGCGCGCAGCACAGAUCCGAGCUCCCUUGCCACCGCUCUUCCCUUCCCUCCGGCCAGAUCCGCCUCUCGCAUCCCCGAGAGCUCACCCACGACCCCUCCCCAUUGCUAGGGUUUCGAGGGUGGCGUCCCCUCCAACUCCGGCGUGUCGCUGACGACUCUGCUCCGCCCUCUCCGACGCCCACCGAAAGUCCCACGGGCAGCUCCCCCUCGUGGUCGGCUCUCCUGCACCCGGUGGCUGCGGGGCGGACGCACGCGGCGGGUAAACUCUGGCGAGACGGCAGCUCCAUCCACGGCGUGAUGGAGGCUCCAUCCACGGCGUGAUGGCGGUGCACUACAUCGGCUAAAGCACCCCCAUGGUGAGACCCUCUGCACUCCUCUAUUCCCCCCUUUUCCUUGUAUAAUGAUGCUUCACAUUGCUUGAUAUGAUGUUUGUCAAUCUUCACUUCUGCCUAGCUAGCUGCUGGAGUUCUUCUAGUUGUGAAAAUUUUGAUAAAGAAAGUGUGUUCGGUUUAUGUAUGCUAUAACAAAUCACGUACGUGUAUGCUAGCUAAAAGAAGCAACCAAGCUAGUAGCUUAAUUGAUCUACAGAAACUAGCUAUAUGUGCGUCUCUAACAAUGUGUUCAUCAGGCCGCUCUCUUCUAUCGUUUGAGUGCGCCAAUUAGUUCGGCCAGCCUCUAUGAUUUAUUCUGAUAGCUUCUGGAGUGCUUCUAUCUAUAUUUGUGAAAAAUUCGACCCAACAAAAAAAUGUUAAUCAGUCCGCUCUCUCAAAGUUGAGUUUGGGCUGCUGCAUAUGAAUGAUUUUUUUUCUUAGUUUGGGUGCUAGGUACUUGAUGGAGUUGGUGUAUCCAUAGAUAGCAUACACUUGCACAUUUUUUCGAGUUCUUCUGUUGCGAAUGAAAACAACCAUCAUGGAUCUCCUCUGUUUUCAAGCAGCUUGCUUCUCCAUGUAUGUUUUAUGCAGCAUAUACAUCUUGCUCCUCUUUUAUUAAGUAGCAAUGGAAGUUGAUGAAAUUUAAGUGUCUUGUUGUUCUAGAGAUGCAGAGAGGGGGGGACGCCCAUGGAUUGGACUGCAAGGAUUGGAUGCAAACCAAUGCACAUGAGGAGGAGAGAUGCAAGCCACGCCAUGACCUAAAGGUCCAUGCCGUGAACCCCUUCCCCUUCCCGUGUAUAAUCAUGCUCAACAAAUACUUGAUAUGAUUUUGGUUGAUCUUCAAUUCAGCCUAGCUAGCUGUUGUAGUACUUGCUUGUCUCUUUCCAAAUGUUGCCCCAGUCCGUUGAGUUUCUUAUUGCUCCAGAUAGUACUGCUAUUUUUUUGCUCUGCGAUUUGGUGUGCAUGGUUCCAGGUUCCCAGUCUACCGCUUUUCUUGUUGUGAUGUCGAGCUCUGUUUUCUUUAUUAUGACAAGUGCAAAAUUAGUAGUGGGAAGUAAACUUUUGUUAACUACUUAACUUGUGCGUAUGACACUAGAGAAUUUUUUGUUGCAUAUAUGCAUCCGUGUCAGAUUUCCCACAUCUACAUGAGAAGAAACCACGCUUCUAUAUAGGAGAAGUUGCACAAGAUUUGAAGCGUGGUUUAAAUUAGUAGGUUUGGUCUCCUGAUAGAUAUUGGUACUUUUACGAUAACCAUGUUAUCUCAAGGAUUGUGCUUGACUAUUAAUUUUCGAUGUCAUUCCUGGCAGAUUUCUUAACUCAGCGUCAGUGCAUCAAAGAUGGUUAGGAGGUUGAAGAUAUGUCGUGUGAAAGGCGCGGGGAGGCAAGGACGGGACACGCAGGACGCUGGAGUGGAGGACGAACACCGCAGCAAGGUAUGUGCAGAGAACAACCACGGUCGCCAAGUCACGACUCCUCUCUUGCAUGUCCACUGCUCCUUGGCUUCCUGGUCAUCAUCAUAUCACAAAUCAAAGUUUUCUUGUUGCGAAUUAGAGCAGAUAAAUUUGAUGGCUGUAACUUGCCAUAAUUGCAAGGUCUAAUUCUAUUAUGUGUUGAGUUUAUUGGCAAGAUUUGGUCCGUUUUGAUACAAUUUCAUUCUGGUUGCCAUCUACGAGUUACUGUUGUUGCAUCACAGUAAUUUAUUUGGAAGCAAUGAUACUUGAGAUUGAGACUUUCUGCGUAGGUUGUCACAAGUAUUUAACUUAUGAUUUCAAUUUGAGAUACAACCGGCAAUCUGGAAUCAGUACUGUUGCUCAGACAAUCUAGAGGGGUUAUAAAAAUUCUUUGCAAAGCUUGUACAGAAGCUUAAGAAUAUGCCUGCUACUUCUUUUUUAGGAAAAUAAAAUGCCUGCUACUUUGGGAUAUUGUGGUGUUACUAAAUGACCGCUUCAUAAAUCAUAAUAUGAGAUGGUGUUUGGUCAACCAAACAUGAAGAAUAUUGGAACAAAAAGACGAAGAAUAUUGGUCAACCAAAGGCAAAUUCACUUCAGCCCAAAUUCACUUGAUGUUGCAAUUUUUUUAUUUGUUAUUUAAGAUUAUUUUUAGAGGAGAGCUGGGCCAGUUUGGAUGCCAAUGUUGGUUUUUAGAUCAUUCAAUGGUUAUGUUCUCCAUAUAAUUUGAUAUGCAAGGUUUUGUUGCUAAAUACUACACCCUUACAAUGCGAAGGGAAGCAAGAGCAGCUAGCAGUAGCAGUUAUAACUGAAGUGAUAAUGGGCACUUUUCUUUUCUGAACAACACUUGAUUUUCUCAUAGUAAUAGUCCUUUACUGAAUUUAGUUGGUACAUAAAUGGUUAUUUACUGAACAACACUUAUAUGUGUGUAGGUACGAUGGUGAUGAAGUUUUAAAAUGGUCCAUUGCCCAACAAGGGCAUUCUAAUUUCUGACUGGAUUAUACUGUAACAAUAUGACACCGAAAUUUCAAAUGGUUCACAUACUAUAGUUCAUUUACAGGAGAUUGUAAACGUUUAGCCACCAUGUGUUGAGAAAUUGUGCAUUGUGAUAAAAAAUUAUAUAAUUUAUGCAAAGGCGUGUGAUAUAUAUUUGUUUCAACAAGUAUGUUGAUUCACGGAGAAUGAUAUUAUAAAUUAUUAGUAUGAUUGAUGAACUAGGUGUUGUCACUGCUUGAAAUUUCAUUUUUUUUGAGAAAUCUAUCCACAUCUGGUCUUGUUUCAAAUCAUGUGUUUUUGUCCAAACGUGAGUUGCACGUGCAAGCUUAUUAGUGUUUGUACAAGCAUUUGUAAAUAGCUAGCCUUUUUGGCUAAUUUUUUUUGGUUCUAGUCAGCAAGUAUGCCGACGGCAAUGCCGUAGGCAUAGAUGGCUGUUGUGAUACCAGGAGCUGCCAUGUGGCAUGUAUGCCUACGGCAAAGCCGUCGGCAUAGUUUUGCAUCUAUGCCUACGGCUUUGCUGUAGGCAUAGUCCACGACCAGGAGCAAUCAGGAGCUGCCACGUGGAAGGCUAUGCCGACGGCAAAGCCGUAGGCAUAGAUUUGCCACGUGGCAACUCCUGGUUGGUCGGACUUCGCAACGACGCCGUCAGCCGCCGUCUCGUCCAUUUUUUUGCCAACGGUGAAUCUAUGUCGACGACUGUACGGAAGCCGUAGGCAUAGGCUGCUAUGCCGACGGCUUUAGUACGCCGACGGUCUGACAAGACUACGCUGACGUGAUCUACGCCGAUGGGCCUAUGACAACGGCAGCCGUAGGCAUAGUCCUAUGCCGACGGCAAAGAACCUAUGCCGACGGCCCUGGGCCGUAGGCAUAGGCCGCGAGUCCGGUAGUCCUUGAGGCAGUAUUCUGAUCAUUGAGCACUUGAAAAGGGAGACUACAAAUGGGGCAAUAUUCUGAUCUCAUCUCAGUUUCUCAUUAAUUUUGUGUCUUCAAAUUUGUAUUACAUGCCAUGUUUUUAUUCCCCGAAUGGUUGUUUUGCAAAAUGUCGUAUCCCAUGUCCCUGUAUAUGUAUCACUGUGUCUAUCAUGUCCGUGUCUCUGUAUCCAUGCUUUUUAGCUAAGAAUUGUCGUACUUUUGCUGUUCACUUACUCAAAAUUGGUGCUUGUGGAAGAUGGAGCUAGUAGUGCACUAACGAAUUGUACUACACACCAAAUCUCAACCUGUACUGUAAUGUGUAUGGUUAGACUAAAACUGAAGCAUCCUUCCCUUUUGGAUCUUCAAUUCUGCUAUGAAUGAAUAUGCAGCAGUAACCCAUCUGAGAAAAAUGACACAUAUCCAUGCAAAUCACUAGCACCAAGUCGAGUGCACAUUCCAGUACAAUCUUAUCAGUUAAUGUUCUUGACAAAACUUCUAUAGUCCUGAAAACGGUGGAAUACAGUAUUUUGUUGAGAAAAAAAGUGCUAUCUUGUUCUUCUGUAGAGGGAUUUCACUCUUUUCUAUGUGACAGAUUGACAGUUGUGCUUGCUAUCUCCAAUGUUGACGUGGAAACUGCAGAAUCAUAUUUGCGCACUGUGGAAAAAGCUGGGAUUGUGAUUGAUAUGCAGGUUAGAUAAUAAGGUAUAAGGCUCUUAUAUGCUGCUGUAUAAGGUUGCGAUGAAUGUCCUUUUGGGGGCUCUCAUAGAAGAAAGUUAUAAUUUUCUCAUACACUGUUAUAUAAGGCUCUAUACACUGCAGAAUCUUUUGAUUUUAGUUUGAAUACCUUGUAAUUUGUUUCUAUCGUGGCAUGUUACCGUUUGACUCUAUUUUGAAUACCUCAAAGACUGCUUUGGCUAGUACUUAUGCUUUCAAGGCCUUAUUUAGUUUUGUAAAAAAAUAUUGAUUUGUGUUGGCUUGCGAUAUUUAGGCAAGGAUUGAAAUUUAGUAGUACAAACAAACCGUGAUGCAGUGACACGACAUGGUAGGUAGUUCUAAUACUAUGUAUGAAGAUCGAGGUUGUUUAUAAAGUUAUGCAGAAGCAACCAUGACAGCCGGCAGCAGUCCUCACAUCUAGAAGGUAUUACAUCUUUUUAUAAUUCUUGAAUAUUACACUAAUGAAAAGAUAUUUAUGUUUUCAUUAUUAAAUAGACAAGGCGUAUAAUGAACUAGCCCUUGCAAAAAUUAGACCUUACCAUGGAUCCCUUUAUACCCAUUUGGAACUACAAAUUUAGUUCUGAUCCCAAGGGCCAUUCUAUUGAAAAGCAAUCAUAGCUUGCCAUCUUGUCUGAAAAACAAUCAUAGCAAGCACCGACACUCUCGGAGCCAGCAUGAUAUUUUCUCCUCUCACAUGCUGAAGACUAAUUAUUUUUCUGAGUCAAGCAUGUGUUUGAAAGUAGGAUCCUACAAGUUUCUUAUUUUCUCCUAAGCAACUAGUACUUUUUUGGUUUUCCUGGUAGAUUAAAAUUGUGCCAACUUUCAAACACAUGCGUAAGUACUUUUAUUCUGAAUCAACCAGCAGCUCUGUUUCUUAAGCAAUUCUAUAGCUACUACUGAAACUUUGCACACAAUUUGGACAAACAUCAUGGAUUAAUAAGAGGGACCACACAACUAUAUGUUCAGCAAACCAACAUUCUUUUAUUUUGAGCAACCUAUAUUCAUUUCAGCAAAUGAUUUAUGUGCCUGCAAACUCUUCUUUUUGUUGAACCAACAUUUUUAUGAAAACCCAUGUAGCAGAUUUAAUCAGAGGGCUGUUCAGUUGGUAUAAUUAUUGAUUCUCACUGUCUAGCACUAUUACACACUACACACAGAACAAACAUGUACAAAAAAACAGAACGAAGGACAUCCUGCAUUGCUACUGGAUUGCCAGUAAUUAAUCCUUACCUGCAUUUUUUGAAUGUUCUAUUAACUUCACAGCAAACAAAAGAAAUUAAUAUACCAAAAGAAGGUGACUAUUGGUAAAUAUUUAUAAUGAUAGGUUAAAUUGGUCUUUCUGAUGAUCCAUACAUAGUGCAUAAUCAAUUCUUAUGAGUACAUACAAAUUCUGUUUGUGACUUGCGGAAUGCAAAGUACAGGGUGACACACAUGUGUAUUUUUCAUCUGGGUGACUUGAUUUUCUUUUUCAGCCAUGCAACUUCUAUGUUUGGAACAUGUGUUCUUCCGAGCUGAUCUAUUUGGCCAUUUCCUUUUUUUACAGGUCACCAGUAUAAUGCCCCUUUGCAUCCACAAGUUUCUACAGGUGUGUUUGGUGAGCUAAAAAGGAUCUUCUGCUGGGAUAUGUUCUACCUAAAACCAGAUCUUAUAUUUUGCAUUUUGUCUUUUAUGCAAUACUUUGACUUACGAACGUACAAAUGUAUGCAUGUGUACAUGUAAACCUGAUGGAUGUCCUGUUACUGGACUUGUAUGCGUAUGUGUGCAUGUAGGCACACAUGAUGGAUUUUCUUGCUUUUGGCUGUCCUGGACUUAUGAACCUAUGUAUGGAUGAUUGAUUGCUUACAUAUAUACACGCACACAUUAUCUAUUAAGUGAUGCAAUCUUAAUU
rnacentral:lncRNA from 1 species